rnacentral:rRNA from 1 species
CUGUCAAGUCGGAUGUGAAAUCCCCGGGCUCAACCUGGGAACUGCAUUCGAAACUGGCAGGCUUGAGUCUUGUAGAGGGGGGUAGAAUUCCAGGUGUAGCGGUGAAAUGCGUAGAGAUCUGGAGGAAUACCGGUGGCGAAGGCGGCCCCCUGGACAAAGACUGACGCUCAGGUGCGAAAGCGUGGGGAGCAAACAGGAUUAGAUACCCUGGUAGUCCACGCCGUAAACGAUGUCUACUUGGAGGCUGUGCCCUUGAGGCGUGGCUUCCGGAGCUAACGCGUUAAGUAGACCGCCUGGGGAGUACGGCCGCAAGGUUAAAACUCAAAUGAAUUGACGGGGGCCCGCACAAGCGGUGGAGCAUGUGGUUUAAUUCGAUGCAACGCGAAGAACCUUACCUGGUCUUGACAUCCACAGAAGUUUGCAGAGAUGCGAAUGUGCCUUCGGGAACUGUGAGACAGGUGCUGCAUGGCUGUCGUCAGCUCGUGUUGUGAAAUGUUGGGUUAAGUCCCGCAACGAGCGCAAC